GGGGAAAAAAAGAGAAGAAAAAGAAGCGGGAGAGAGAGAAAGUUAUAAUCUUCCCAGAUCACUAUUAAUUACAUUUACAAUAACUGCACUGUUCCGGAUGGUUACACUGCUGACAAGCAGGAGGUUCAGUUCUUGCAGGGGAACAUGUGUGUGCAUCUUGCUUUUGCCUUUUCUUCAGAGCAAAACUUGCAGCUGAUGAUAGGGCACAAUGGGGCUAAAGGGCAGUGUGAGUGCAGGUAGUGUGGAUAGCAAAACUCAGUCCUGUGAAGGUGUCUUUGCUCAACUUGUCAGUUUGCCAUCACUUGAGGCCAAAUUUCAGCCAUGUAGUGUUAGCCCACUUCUCUGACAAUCCAGAGCAUGACAGAGACUGGAUGCAGAAUAUAGGACUGUCUAAAAAUGUAACUCAGAGCAAAAAAAUAAAUUAAGGGACACUGUCAUGAGAUGAGGUUUCCACAUUCAGGUCUCCCAGAAACAUGCCCUUGCCUUAACGGGUCUAUUGCACGAACUCAGUGACUCUAAGCAGCGCCUGCAAGUUGCAUCAUUACUGGUUUAUCUUAUUCCAGGAGGGAAUGGCAAUUAGGGGAAAGAGCAGACCUGUCAAGAGGCACAAGGCUCUUCUUCAACCAGCCCCUUUUCUCCUGAUGCUUCUUUUGAAGGCCACUGUUCUACAGUGCUGGGAUCUCUUGCACUGCAACUCAAGUUAUUUCCUCUCCUUGCCUCUACUUGACACUUCCUGUGUAAAACCUGCCUUCUUGUCCCAAGACAGAGCAGUACCACUUCAGAUCCAUCAAGAGUUUUGGAUCCCACCUAUUCUCACCUGCAAUGUGAUAUAUUUCAUCCCUUACACCAAAUGCCUUCUCAGAAACUGUGUAUCACACAGAUCACUCAGUGAGGAGCAUGAACACCCACUUGCCAGUGGGAAGAUGUUUUUACACAACAUCCAGUGAAUCCUGACCCUCAAGGAGCCAUGACAUGGUGAGUUGAGAGAGACAGAGGGAAAGGCAGGCAUGCCUGUGCCCUGUGUUGAUGCUGACUGCUCGGAAAAGCCAUCCGGAGGGUGAGUGGAGCAUGCAAGUGCUGGAGCCAGCACCCUUAUAGGUCUUUGCUGGGAAAUGAUUAUGAUUCCUGCACUUCUGCAGCCUGGGGAAACGCAGUGACUCAACGCUCAUUCUGGUGGGUGACAUCUUUGUGUUGUGAUGCAUGUAACUGCAUCAGGAAUCAAUUGAGCAUUCCCCUCGUGCGUCAGGCUGACGGGAACUCACUCAGACCAGAGUCACGCUUUGGCACAUGUGACGUCGCGUCUUUGAAGGCAGUGCUCACAACGGUUUCGGGAAAAUGCCAGCCAACUGUGCACUGCUUGGCGAGAGGACAGUAACGGAAACAGGGCAUGGAAACCAAGCCCUCCUACAGAAGGAAAUUCCAGGAGAUCUUCUCGAGAGCAGUGGGUCUCAUGACCCCCUGGGAUGCACAGCCUUUUGGUCACCAUCCCGCUGUCUGGAGAAAGUCUGGUGUAAAUGAUGCCCUCAGACGUUGUGCUUCCUCUAGGACAGCUAACUUUUGCAUUUCAAAGGACAGCCUGGGGAUGAACCAGCAUGUGCAAAACAUAACCAUGGGGAUGUGGGCUCAAGGAAAAUGUGCACCAUCUUGACAGGGUAGACUUAGAGAACAUAGCGUCGUGAAGAGCAUGCAAUUUGCAAGAGUUAGGAAGAGGAGUGGAGAUUUUUGUUGCCUGCAGCAGGAGAGCCCUUUCAUGGUGCUGAAAUGUCAUGUUAGGAAGCUGCACAGAAAAUGAACAUCCUGGCAGUGGCACUGACUCUGCUGUCAUUCAUAUACCAGAGUGAUGUAUUCAUCCUCAGAAGGACAAGAACUUCAUCUGUGAACAAAAGCCUCUGCACAGAUUUCAGCCAAAGGGAAAAAAAAGUCAUGCCUCCCACUUGUGUUCAUUUUUAUGGCCCAUUUGCAU
ensembl:lncRNA